UACUUGGCAUCUGAGGCAUAUCAUUCAUGGUGUCACAUUGCAUUGCAUCUGAUUAUAUCCCUCAUUCUCGUUGAUUAUGUGUGUUAUUGGUGGUUAAACAUUUCGUGACAUUUAAUGAUCUCUAUUGAUGAAAACUUGGUUGCUAAGUGUAAGGUGGACUUGUAAAAAAAUUAAGGAUUAUUUUCUUAUAUACUCCUGUCACUACUUCUUUGUUGUCGGUCUAUGAGAUAUACUGGGUACAUGUGGUUUCGUACUCAUACUACACUUGCUGCACUCUUUUGUGGUGCAGAUUGUAUUUCGAAUUCGAGCAUAUUUCUUGGAGCUUGAGUCUGAGUUUGGUUUAUCUUGAAGUUGUGGUGAGCUGCUUGGACGUUCUGCCGCCCAUACCUUCAUCUAUCUCUAGUUAUUAGGUUGUUUUGGUAUUCUGCUAGGAUAUUUCUUAUGUUUAGACUUGUUAUAUAAUUAGAGACUUGUAUCGACUUUUAGAAGCUCUUGUACUUAUGACACUAAAUCUUGGGAUGGAAAUUUAGAUUUCCGCAUUUCAUAUUUCUAAAUGACUUAGUGAUUGAAUAUGAUGUUUUUCACUUAUCUUUCUACUUUAAAUAUUGAAUUGAAUUGGUAAAGUAUUGGGUUGGCUUACCUAUCGGUUGGGAACAUAGGUGCCAUCAUGACUUGUUAUUUUGGGUCGUGACAAAUUGGUAUCAAAGCUCUAGGUUCAUCGGUCUCACGAGUACAAGAGUUGAGUCUAGUAGAGUCUUGCGGAUCAGUACAGAGACGUCUGUUACUUAUCUUCAAGAGGCUAUAGGACUUUAGGAAACUUCAUUCUUUCAUUUCUUAUCGUGCGUAUGUGAUUCGAUUUUAUGGUCAAAAUUUCCUUGUUCUAUUCUCUCGCCAAUGAUGAGGAAGCAUUUUCAAAUUUAGACCCAGUGGUUAGGAUGACGUUAUGGGGUAUAGUACGUGUGUUUUGUGGCUAACAAAAUAGCUUGGUAAUGAGUUUUCUAUUCUAAAUAAUGCAAUUAAUGAAGAUGAAAUUAGUAAGAAUAAUUUGUUGUAUGUGUGAUUUUGACAAAGAUACUUGAACUUUAUUUGAAUAUUUUUUGGGACAAUUUUAUUACUCGUGUUUAUGAUAAUGAAUAAUUUAGUACUGAAAUGGUAUAAUGUUGAUGUUUUUAAGAGUAGUGUAAGAUUAGUAAGAUUAUUGAUCAAAUAAGAGGAUAACGAUUAUGGUAAGGCAAUGAGGAAAUGUUGAGGAAGGACAAAGAUAUAAAAUGUGACCUCUUCUAAUGACAUUUGAGAGGGUAAACUUGUUAUAAGAUUCAUAUGAUAUAUUUCUUUUUUUUCCCUUUCGAGUAGAGAUAUACUCAAGACAUUUUGAAUAUUUUAAGUUAGGUGGCACUAUACCCAUGUUGGUAUUCAUUGACCGGAUCACGAUGUAUACUAAGUCUAAUAUAUCAAGAAAAUAUAAAAGGCUGAAUUGAAUAGCAGUCAAUAAUGACAUUUAAUAUAGUGUGUUAAUGAUAAAUAUUGAUACAUUCACAUGGUGAAAACCUUUCAUAUCUUGAAUUAAGGAUUAGUAAUAUUGAUUGAAAUUAAGAGGGGAUAAAAAAUUCUUUAGUUAAAUUUUUUUGGAAGGGAUAUUUGUAUGAAACUUUAUGAGGAUGUCCAUAAAGACGUGUGCAUAGUAGUUAUAAUUGCUAGACAAAUCAUAGACUAAUACAGUUGUCAUUGGAAAUAUUUUAUUAGUAGAUAACUAACUGUAAUGGUGUAACCAAGGUGGGUCAAGGUAUCCUUCUAUAUGCUCUUGAUUGACUACAGUUUUAUUUCAAGUGUGGAUAUACUUCAUUUUUUUAAGCACAUAUCUUAUUUUGGGUUUGAAUAUGCUUCAUGACACUUAUCUUAUGUCUAUACAUAUUUCUACACCGGUAGAUGGUUCUUAGUGGUAGAUCGAUUACAUCGAUCUUAUGUUAUUCACUUGGUAGUACAUGACACAUGGACAAACUUACCUAUUCUGAAUAUAGUUGAUUUCAACCUCAUAUUGGAUAUAGAUGAAAUUUCUCCCUAUUAUGCGUUUUCAUACUAUUAGACCAAGAUAAUAACCUAAGAUAUGCCAACUUUUCCUAAACUAAAGUGGAAGGAAACUCUUAGUACUUGUCCGAGAAAGGCAUUUUGAUUUUAGAGUCUCACCAUAUGGUUUAAAAAAAAAUGAUGCCUUAUCUAUUUGACUUACGUUUGUCAAAAUGGUAACUGUACAUCUCUUUUAGAAUCUAUUACAGUGGUAAAAGAGUUCUUGAAAGUAUUUCACCUGAUCAUGAUAUAUAAUUUAGUAUUGACUUAGAGUUGGACACGUUACCUAUUUCUAUCAUUCUUAUUGAAUUUCUCUUGUGGAAUUAAAGGAUCAGUAACAAGAAUUGUUGAGUAAGAGAUUUAUCAUAUCAAAUAUAUCUUCAUGGGUUAUUUCUAUCAUACUUGUAUUCGUUUAUUAUUAUCUUCAUAUAUAAUGUAUUGGUAUACUCCCGUAGUAAGAAGGAACACGAGCAUCAUUUGAGGAUUGUUCUUUAAAAUCUGAAGAAAGAUUAAGCUCUAUGCAUGUAUUUUAAGGUGUGAAUUUUGGUUAGUUGGGUGGAAUAUUUGGAAUGUUUAGUGAGCAAGAAUGGUAUUAUGGUAGAUCCCAAGAGGAUUGAGGCAAUUAAACAAAAUUAGGUCUAACCUACUUCAGUUACGAUAUUUGGAUUUCUUAAGCCUAGUAGGUAAUUAUCAAUGAUGUUCUCAUUCAUUGCAUCCACCUUGACUAAAUUGAUAUAGAACUAAUUGGAUUUUAGUGGUUUGAUGUGUGUGAGGUGAGCUCCUAAAGCUCAAGACUUUAUUUACUACUUCAUUGACUUCACCCGUGUAUGGAGAGGAUUUUUCCGUAUAUUGAGAUGCUUCUUGGAUUGGAAUUGGUUGGUUAUUGAUGUAAAAAGAGAAGUGAUAGCUUAUGCUUCGAGUCAGUGGAAAGUUUACGAGAAGAACUAUCCUACUUAUAGCUUAGACUUGGCGGUGAUGGUGUUUGCAGUUAAGUUUUAGAAACAUUAUAUUUAUGGUGUGCAUUGUGAGGUGUUUCAGUAUAUGUUAAAUAAGAAGAAUCUAAAUUUAAGACAUUGGAGAUGGUUAGAGGUUUCUCAAGGACUAUGGAAUGACUAUCGUUUAUCAUUUGGGCAAGGCAAAAUGCGAUAGUAGAUAUCUUAGGUUGAAGGUUAGUGAGUAUGGGUAGUUUACUAUUGUUACAUGUGGGAGAGCGUAUUUUGGCUAUGAAUGUCCAGUCAUUAGACAACAACUUUGUGAGACUUGAUAUUUUGAAAUAUAUUGGAGUUUUGGCUUAUACGGAGGAGAGGUAAAAAAAAAUAAAAAUUAUUAGAGCAAAUUCAGGUUCGACAAUUUGGUGAUGAAAAUUUAUAUAAGAUUUGAGAUAAUAUGUUACAAGGAGACUUGAUGGAGGAUAUUUUGGAUGGUAAGGAAGUUUUUGAGGAUAAAAAGUCAUAUUGGAUUUUUCACGAACAAGUGAGAUUACUUGAUUGAUCAUGAAAGAGGCCUAUAGUUGAGAUAUUCUAUUCAUCCCGAGGCUAUUGAGAUGUAUUUUGAUUUGAAGCAACAUUAUCGUAUCGUAUGAAAAUGGGAAUAGUUAGAUUUGUAUCUCAUGUUUGAAUUAUUAGCAAGUAAAGUAUAAACAUCAAGAGCAUAAAAGGUGACUCAAAUGAUGCACAUACCUGAGUGGAAAUGAGAGCGGAUUGAUUUGGACUUUGUGGUAAGAUUUCCACGUACUUUGGGUGAGUUUGAUGUUAAAUGGAUCAUCGUGAAUUGAUUGACUAAGUUUUCACAUUUUAUAUCGGUUCAGACUACUUAUAAUACACAGAAGUUAGCCAAGAUAUAUAUUCGAGAGAUAGUUCGCUUGCAUAGGGUGCUAAUUUCAAUACUUCAGAUCGAGGUACUUAAUUUGCAUCUCAUAUUUGGUGGUUUAUGUAGAAGGAUUUGGAUACUUGAGUGGACCUUAGUACAUCCUUUCACCCUCAGACUGAUGGUUAGCCUAAACAGACUAUUCAGGUUUUGAGGACAUGUUGCGGGUGGGUGUGAUUGACUUUAGGGAUCAUUGGAGUCCAUUUUUGCCAUUAUCAGAUUUUCCCUACAAUAACAAUUGUCUUGCGAGCAUUGAGAUGACACAAACUGAGGUUUUGUAAGGUAGGACAUGUCGAUAUCCAAUUGAUCAGUUUGAUACAAUUGAGGUUAGACCGUGGGGUACAAAAUUGUUGAGGGACGUCGUCGACAAUAUUAAGUUGAUUCAAGAUGGGUUUCUCAUGGCUCAGAGUAGGCAAAAGAGUUAUACAAAUCAAAAGAUUCAUGAUUUAGAGUUCAUGAUUGGAGAUCGGGGUCUUAUUGAAGAUUUCACCCAUAAGGAGUUCGAUAAGAUUUUGAGAGAAGAACAAGAUGAGCCCAAGGAUAUUGGUCCUUUUGUGAUUGUUGAGUGUAUUUGUGAGGUAGCUUACGAAUUAGCUUUGUCACCUAGUUUAUCGAGAUCUGCAUUUCAUAUUUGAGGUUGAAGAAGUAUUAUCAGGAUGGUGCUCAUGUGAUUCAAUGAGAUUUGGUGUUACUUGAUCAGAAUUUGACCAUUGAUGGGGAGUCGAUAACCAUCUUGGAUAAGAAAACUCAACAGUUGAGGUCGAAGGAGAUUGCUUCAUUAAUGUACAAUGGAAGCAUCAUUCUAUUGAGAAGGCUACUUUGAAAAUCGAGUCAAACAUGCGAAUGAGAUAUUCUUAGCUUUUUAAGCAUUCGGGUACUUCCUAUUCUUUUACCGUUCGAGGACGAACGUUUAUUUUAGUGGUAGAUGAUGUAACGACCCGCUAGGUCGUUUUGAGAACUAGGACUAUUUUGACUCUUCCGAAAAAAAUUUAAAGGGGUAUUUUAAACUAUUCAAUAAUUACGAGUAUCUAGUUGAUGAAUUUUUAUUUAAGGAGUAUUAUAGUUAUUAGUUAGUGGGCCAAAUCCAUAGUUCAAUUAAUACCCAAGUAAUUUGGCCCAUGUAAAUAGAUGAAUUAAGAAUAAUUGAGGGUUAAUAAUUCUUUGUCACCCCCACAACCCACUAAAACUUCUAUCUGCACACGACGAGGAGAAUCAUCGCAUAACCUCAACCAUCACGAAAUCUGCCAGGUAAAAGAAAAUAUAAUUUAAGCUGAUAUUGUCGUGUGUGUAUGUGUUGUCUGGGUAGGAAUUUUAUUUGGCUUAACGGGUUAGAAAUAUGUUGUAAGUUAUUGCUGCCAACAAAUCAGUGCUAGCAAGAUUUCAGCCGGAAUUUGUCAUUAAUGGAUAUAGAAUUGUGUUGAUAAGAUUUCGGCUGGAACAUAAAUAAUAAAUAAAGUUAAGGAAAACAAAUUUGGAAACUUGACACUAUACCGUAGGAUGGUUUCUUUGGUAGGAAAAUUAAUUGUUAAUUAGGAGAGAGUAAUCAUUACGGUAAUGAUUGACUCAUGAUUUUAAGUGGUAAUUCAUUUAAUAAGGAACUGAAGUAUAGUAAUUAUGAAGGCUUGGAAGUUGGAGCUUUUGUUAAAUUUUUUGUUAGUUUCUGUUACUACUCUUGUCACUAUUAAUUAUUAAGCAUAAUGGAUAUAUAUGAACACUAUUAGAGUAUGUUAUUUAGUGGAAUUAAGAUAUAACUCCAGGCUUAAAAUCUAGGAAUAUGAGACUUGACAUAUUAGAUGGCACCAAAAAUUUAGGAAUUUCAUUAUAUAUCAUGGGUGUUAGUUUGGUGUCAUUAGGUUGGAUGAAAUUUAUAUAUCAUUUUGAGUUAAUGAUAGGUGAGUGGAUGUAAGGUGUUGCGUAGUGGAUAGUACAAAUGUUGUUUGUUGCUUUGAUUCAGGAUCACUGUAUCACUUUGUUAAAUUCGUAGCAUAUUUUGUGUCUUGAAAUAUUCUGUUGGUGUUCACAAUUGUUUACCAAUAGUGGUUAAUUGGUCCAAGAGUGACCAUCAUGGUUAAGUCGAUAAUAUAUUUAAAAAGUGCGAAAUUUUAAGGCGAAUAAGAUGGUAACAUUCGUGAAGUUUGAAUAAGUUUUGGGGUUCGGGAUAGAGGUAUAGCUCGAUAGAUGUCUAUAGAUUCGUUUACUUAUGAAUAAUGCAUAUGUGAUAGAUUGUGAACGUGUUGAAGCUUUGCGAAAGGGAAGGGCAAAAUCUUGAGGAUUCAUGACACGUGUUCAGCAUUCGAGGUAUGUUAAGACUUUUUAGACUUCGUUGAAGGACGUUUUCCUAAUUAAAGAUUAAAAAAUGGAAUAGACAAUUGGUAAGGGUGAAAGAUGGGGUCUCGUACCAAUGGUGUGACGGGCAUUGGUACGAGUACCUGUGAUUUUAAAGGGAAAAGUUUAUUACUAUAACAUGAUAGAUUGUAAUUCGAGAAUGCCAAAGCAUAUGGGCAUUAGCUGCUGUACUUAGUUACUUGAUUUCUUUUGUAUGGUUGUGUUUCCUUAUUGAACCAGUAUAAUUGUGAUAAUUGAGGUGAUUAUAUGUCAUAGCGACAUUUGAUUUAUUGAGAUGUUGCAUCAUCCCCUUUUAUUGAUAUCAUACUGUGCACAUGCAUUGACAUGAGAUUGAGUAUGAUUAAAGGUCUAACACAUGGAGAUCGUCCGUGUUGAGAUCGAGUUAAAAUUAUAAUUUGGGCGCGUGGAGAUCGUCCGUGCGAGUGAGUGGUUAUGAUUAUAAGUUGGGCACGUAGAGAUCGUCCGUGCUGGGGAUUGUUUCAUUUUAUGAUAGUGCGUUGAGAUCGUCCGCACAGACACGUGGAGAUCGUCCGUGUCGGUAUAUGGACCUCGCGAGUCCCCCAUGGGUCAUGAACUCUCGAUGUAUUUCCGAGGAGUAUCAUGUAUAUACAGUUGAGAGAGUACUUGGCAUCUGAGGCAUAUCAUUCAUGGUGUCACAUUGCAUUGCAUCUCAUUACAUCCCUCAUUCUCGUUGAUUAUGUGUGUUAUUGGUGGUUAAACAUUUCGUGACAUUUAAUGAUCUCUAUUGAUGAAAACUUGGUUGAUAAGUAUAAGGUGGACUUGUAAAAAAAUUAAAGGAUUAUUUUCUUAUAUACUCCUGUCACUACUUCUUUGUUGUCGGUCUAUGAGAUAUACUGGGUACAUGUGGUUUCGUACUCAUACUACACUUGCUGCACUCUUUUGUGGUGCAGAUUGUAUUUCGAAUUCGAGCAUAUUUCUUGGAGCUUGAGUCUGAGUUUGGUUUAUCUUGAAGUUGUGGUGAGCUGCUUGGACGUUCUGCCGCCCAUACCUUCAUCUAUCUCUAGUUAUUAGGUUGUUUUGGUAUUCUGAUAGGAUAUUUCUUAUGUUUAGACUUGUUAUAUAAUUAGAGACUUGUAUCGACUUUUAGAAGCUCUUGUACUUAUGACACUAAAUCUUGGGAUGGAAAUUUAGAUUUCCGCAUUUCA
rnacentral:lncRNA from 1 species